GAAAUGCGAUAAGUAAUGUGAAUUACAGAAUUCAGUGAAUCAUCGAAUCUUUGAACGCACAUUGCGCCCGUUAGCAUUCUAGCGGGCAUGCCUGUCCGAGCGUCAUUUCAACCCUCAGGGCCCCCCGUUCCGGCGGGCGGACCUGGCGUUGGGGAUCGGCCCGCCCCGUGCGGCGCCGUCCCCCAAAUACAGUGGCGGUCCCGCCGCAGCCUCCCCUGCGUAGUAGUUUACAACCUCGCAUCGGAGCGCGGCGCGGCCACGCCGUAAAACCCCCGACUUUCUGAACGUUGACCUCGGAUCAGGUAGGAAUACCCGCUGAACUUAAGC
rnacentral:misc_RNA from 1 species